rnacentral:lncRNA from 1 species
AUCAGUCAAAAUUUACCUCUGAAAGGUUCUUUGAUCUUCUGUGAAAUUUCAGUCUAAAAAAUAGCUUUGAAAAAUAUCAGAAAUCUACUAUUCUUUAUAAGUUGAAAACGUGGUUUCAACAGAAGAUUUUUCUAGUUAUCUAGCUAGGUUCCCUGGUUUGUAGCUGGUUUUGAGUUUAUUUGAAAUCUCUGGUCAUUUCUGGUUUUAUUGUUGUUGGUCUGCUGGUUUACUACUGAAGUCUGGGCUUCCACUUCUCUUCUGACUUUCUUAGACCGUAUUUGGUCAUUUCUUUAGUCAUAUUUUCAACUUCAAGGUAUAUACAAUGCUUCUUUUGAAUGGAAUCAUUUUCUGUGUUUAAAAUUUGUAUUUGAAACUUGUUUAUUUAGCCGAUUUUGGGAUAUUUUGGUUUGUGAAUCUUAACUCGUUUUAGAAGAUAAGCAGGCUAUGUUAUAGAAUUAAAUGUUUGUUUGAGCUGAAACCAUGAAAUCUGUAAGGAUGUAUCAUAUUCAUAUGUAUAAACUUCACAUUUUUUUGCCAAGUGGGUAUGUGUAUGCAUUUUUGAACCUUGGGCCAAAACAUUCUACCUAUGGCAGCACAAUGGAUUAAAGAAUCCGGCCUUCAAAUGGUCAAAUUCAUCCUUUUAAAGUCCAUAAAAGUCUGCUUUUAGUAUAUGUUCGUGAUAUCUUCCCUCCCUAUUCUUCUCCUCCACUGAGGUGAGGACCAUGGAAUAAAUCAUGGUUUUGGGAAUCAUUGUGUGUCUAUAAGGGUGACCCUCAAUAUGGUUAGACUUUAUGGACAUAUUGUCUUUUCCCUCUAGCUCAUUCUGUGUUGAGAUUAGCUUAGUUACAUUACUAUAGCAGCAUGUCGAGUAUUUCAUCCAGCUUAAGUUCAUUCAAAUGUUGAAGGAAUACAGAAUGUUCAAUUAUGAAUGCUUGUUUGUCUGUUGUCACCCUUUAGUUAAUAUAAAGAUUACAGUAGUUCAAUACUUUCAAGUAAACUGAUGGCCAUUCAUUACUGUUAUUUGUUUGAAUUGGCAUGUGAUAUUGUCUCAAGGUCAAGAAAUUUGCAAAGCUAGAGUUGAAAUGUGGACUUGUGAGGGGCAGUUCUAUAGCUGCUCCCUUGCAAAGGCACACGUUAUAAGAGGAAACUUGAUGGCAAUGAGGGAAUCAAAAUCAGGAUGUUCUUGAGCCAAUUCAGGCAGUAUUAUAAGCUGUGAAG